CCUACGGGAGGCAGCAGUGGGGAAUAUUGCACAAUGGUGGGAACACUGAUGCAGCGACGCCGCGUGAGUGAAGAAGUAUCUCGGUACGUAAAGCUCUAUCAGCAGGGAAGAAAAUGACGGUACCUGACUACGAAGCCGCGGCUAACUACGUGCCAGCAGCCGCGGUAAUACGUAGGGGGCAAGCGUGAUCCGGAUUUACUGGGUGUAAAGGGGGCGUAGACGGCACUGCAAGUCCGGAGUUAAAGCCCAAGGCCUAACCAUGGGACUGCUCUGGAAACUGGGGGUCUCGAGUGCGGGAGGGGCAUGCGGAAUGCGUAGUGUAGCGGUGAAAUGCGUAGAUAUCAGGAGGAACACCGGCGGCGAAGGCAGCCUGCUGGCUCCACACUGACGUUGAGGCUCGAAAGCGUGGGGAGCAAACAGGAUUAGAUACCCGGGUAGUC
rnacentral:rRNA from 1 species